AUUGAACGCUGGCGGCAGGCCUCACACAUGCACGUCUAACGAGUGGCGGACGGGUGAGUAAUGUCUGGGAAACUGCCUGAUGGAGGGGGAUUACUACUGGCAACGGUCGCUAAUACCGCAUACCAUCCGAUGUUCCCAGAUGGGAUUAGCUAGUUGGUGGGGUAACGGCGAACCAAGGCGACGAUCCCUAGCUGGUCUGAGAGGAUGACAAGCAACACUGGAACGGAGACACGGUCCAGACUACUACGGGAGGCAGCAGUGGGGAAUAUUGCACAAUGGGCGAAAGCCUGAGGCAGCCAUGCCGCGUGUAGGAAGAAGGCCUGAGGGUUGUAAAGUACGUUCAGCGGGGAGGCGUUACCCGCAGAAGAAGCACCGGCUAACUCCGUGCCAGCAGCCGCGGUAAUUC
rnacentral:rRNA from 1 species